AGUUCCAGCUACUUGGGAAGCUGAGACAGGAUAUCUGCUUGAGCCCAGGAGUUCGUGGCUGCAGAGAGCUGUGAUCACACCACCGCACUCCAGCCAGGGCAACAGAGUGAGACCCUGACUCCAAAAGCAAAAACAAAAGAGCAAAAACGAGAUUCCAAUGUAUACUCCCACCAAUUAAUUUGAAGGUGACCAUAUCCCUUCUAACUAUCAAAUACUGUCACUCAUUUACAUCUUUGCCAAAUGUGGGAAAACAAAGUUUCGCAACCCUAUAUUGACUCCGCCAUGCCUUGGGAAAGGCAGCCCGCAUCAGUGGCAGGAAAUAUUGGUGGAGCGAGCUGGGACUUGCAGGUGACCAAGAAGGGGGAUCCCGGAACCGGAAUUGUCUCCCCUGGCGUUCCGGAAGUAGAAGCAGAGCCAUUGCUGGGUGGCGCCAGCCCUCAGACUCGCCUCUUUGCAGUAGGAAGAAGGCCUCCCCACAUAUCUUCCCACACUCAUCACCUUAAGCCAGACUCGGUGUCCAGUGAAUAUGACCAUCUCUUGCCCAUUUUCUAAUGAGUGUUUUCAUUAAUGAGUUAUAAGAAUGUGGUGGGUAAAUCUAUGGGCUUUGAACUAGUGAAUCAACUUGGUUUCAGAAUCUGGCACUGCUACUUACUAGUGAAUUUAAGCAAGUUAUUUCACCUCUCAGAGUGUCAGUUCCCUCAUGCAUACAAGGAAGAUAAAAAAUAAUGUAUACAAAAGUAUUGGAGUAAUUAAUACAUGGAGGACUACAUGUAAAGGGUUUAGCAUGAUGUCUG
rnacentral:lncRNA from 1 species